rnacentral:rRNA from 1 species
AGUAACGCGUGGGUAACCUGCCUCAUACAGGGGGAUAACAGUUAGAAAUGGCUGCUAAUACCGCAUAAGCACACAGCUUCGCAUGGAGCAGUGUGAAAAACUCUGGUGGUAUGAGAUGGACCCGCGUCUGAUUAGCUAGUUGGUAAGGUAACGGCUUACCAAGGCGACGAUCAGUAGCCGACCUGAGAGGGUGACCGGCCACAUUGGGACUGAGACACGGCCCAAACUCCUACGGGAGGCAGCAUG